GACCUCGGAUCAGGUAGGAAUACCCGCUGAACUUAAGCAUAUCAAUAAGCGGAGGAAAAGAAACCAACAGGGAUUGCCUCAGUAACGGCGAGUGAAGCGGCAAAAGCUCAAAUUUGAAAUCUGACCCUUCGGGUCCGAGUUGUAAUUUGCAGAGGAUGUUUCGGGUAAGAUUUAGGUCUAAGUUCCUUGGAACAGGACGUCAUAGAGGGUGAGAAUCCCGUACGUGACCGUUGAUCGCACCCAUGUGAAACUCCUUCGACGAGUCGAGUUGUUUGGGAAUGCAGCUCAAAAUGGGUGGUAAAUUUCAUCUAAAGCUAAAUAUUGGCCAGAGACCGAUAGCGCACAAGUAGAGUGAUCGAAAGAUGAAAAGCACUUUGAAAAGAGAGUUAAACAGUAUGUGAAAUUGUUGAGAGGGAAGCGC
rnacentral:rRNA from 1 species